rnacentral:misc_RNA from 1 species
AACCAUUCUCACCUGCGGCUAGACCUGCGGAAGGAUCAUUACAAGUGACCCCGGUUUACCACCGGGAUGUUCAUAACCCUUUGUUGUCCGACUCUGUUGCCUCCGGGGCGACCCUGCCUUCGGGCGGGGGCUCCGGGUGGACACUUCAAACUCUUGCGUAACUUUGCAGUCUGAGUAAACUUAAUUAAUAAAUUAAAACUUUUAACAACGGAUCU